rnacentral:rRNA from 1 species
GAUGAACGCUGGCGGCGUGCUUAACACAUGCAAGUCGAACGAUGAAGCCCAGCUUGCUGGGUGGAUUAGUGGCGAACGGGUGAGUAACACGUGAGUAACCUGCCCUUAACUCUGGGAUAAGCCUGGGAAACUGGGUCUAAUACCGGAUAGGAGCGCCUACCGCAUGGUGGGUGUUGGAAAGAUUUAUCGGUUUUGGAUGGACUCGCGGCCUAUCAGCUUGUUGGUGAGGUAAUGGCUCACCAAGGCGACGACGGGUAGCCGGCCUGAGAGGGUGACCGGCCACACUGGGACUGAGACACGGCCCAGACUCCUACGGGAGGCAGCAGUGGGGAAUAUUGCACAAUGGGCGAAAGCCUGAUGCAGCGACGCCGCGUGAGGGAUGACGGCCUUCGGGUUGUAAACCUCUUUCAGUAGGGAAGAAGCGAAAAUGACGGUACCUGCAGAAGAAGCACCGGCUAACUACGUG